rnacentral:rRNA from 1 species
GAUGAACGCUAGCUACAGGCUUAACACAUGCAAGUCGAGGGGAAACGAUAUUGGAAGCUUGCUUCCGAUAGGCGUCGACCGGCGCACGGGUGAGUAACGCGUAUCCAACCUGCCCGUCACUUGGGGAUAACCUUGCGAAAGUAAGACUAAUACCCGAUGAUAUCCCUAGACGACAUCUGAAAGGGAUUAAAGAUUUAUCGGUGAUGGAUGGGGAUGCGUCUGAUUAGCUUGUUGGCGGGGUAACGGCCCACCAAGGCAACGAUCAGUAGGGGUUCUGAGAGGAAGGUCCCCCACAUUGGAACUGAGACACGGUCCAAAACUCCUACGGGAGGCAGCAGUGAGGAAUAUUGGUCAAUGGGCGAGAGCCUGAACCAGCCAAGUAGCGUGCAGGAUGACGGCCCUAUGGGUUGUAAACUGCUUUUAUACGGGGAUAAAGUGAGCCACGUGUGGCUUAUUGCAGGUACCGUAUGAAUAAGGACCGGCUAAUUCCGUG